rnacentral:rRNA from 1 species
AAUAUGGGGGGACCAUCCUCCAAGGCUAAAUACUCCUGACUGACCGAUAGUGAACCAGUACCGUGAGGGAAAGGCGAAAAGAACCCCGGCGAGGGGAGUGAAAAAGAACCUGAAACCGUGUACGUACAAGCAGUAGGAGCCCACUAGUUGGGUGACUGCGUACCUUUUGUAUAAUGGGUCAGCGACUUAUAUUCUGUAGCAAGGUUAACCGUAUAGGGGAGCCGCAGGGAAACCGAGUCUUAACUGGGCGUUAAGUUGCAGGGUAUAGACCCGAAACCCGGUGAUCUAGCCAUGGGCAGGUUGAAGGUUGGGUAACACUAACUGGAGGACCGAACCGACUAAUGUUGAAAAAUUAGCGGAUGACUUGUGGCUGGGGGUGAAAGGCCAAUCAAACCGGGAGAUAGCUGGUUCUCCCCGAAAGCUAUUUAGGUAGCGCCUCGUGAAUUCAUCUUCGGGGGUAGAGCACUGUUUCGGCUAGGGGGUCAUCCCGACUUACCAACCCGAUGCAAACUACGAAUACCGAAGAAUGUUAUCACGGGAGACACACGGCGGGUGCUAACGUCCGUCGUGAAGAGGGAAACAACCCAGACCGCCAGCUAAGGUCCCAAAGUCAUGGUUAAGUGGGAAACGAUGUGGGAAGGCCCAGACAGCCAGGAUGUUGGCUUAGAAGCAGCCAUCAUUUAAAGAAAGCGUAAUAGCUCACUGGUCGAGUCGGCCUGCGCGGAAGAUGUAACGGGGCUAAACCAUGCACCGAAGCUGCGGCAGCGACACUAUGUGUUGUUGGGUAGGGGAGCGUUCUGUAAGCCGUUGAAGGUGGCCUGUGAGGGUUGCUGGAGGUAUCAGAAGUGCGAAUGCUGACAUAAGUAACGAUAAUGCGGGUGAAAAACCCGCACGCCGGAAGACCAAGGGUUCCUGUCCAACGUUAAUCGGGGCAGGGUGAGUCGACCCCUAAGGCGAGGCCGAAAGGCGUAGUCGAUGGGAAACAGGUUAAUAUUCCUGUACUUGGUGUUACUGCGAAGGGGGGACGGAGAAGGCUAUGUUGGCCGGGCGACGGUUGUCCCGGUUUAAGCAUGUAGGCGGAUGUUCCAGGUAAAUCCGGAGCGUCACUAACGCUGAGGUGUGAUGACGAGGCACUACGGUGCUGAAGUGACAAAUGCCCUGCUUCCAGGAAAAGCCUCUAAGCAUCAGGUAACAUCAAAUCGUACCCCAAACCGACACAGGUGGUCAGGUAGAGAAUACCAAGGCGCUUGAGAGAACUCGGGUGAAGGAACUAGGCAAAAUGGUGCCGUAACUUCGGGAGAAGGCACGCUGAUGGUAGGUGAAGUGACUUGCUCAUGGAGCUGAAAUCAGUCGAAGAUACCAGCUGGCUGCAACUGUUUAUUAAAAACACAGCACUGUGCAAACACGAAAGUGGACGUAUACGGUGUGACGCCUGCCCGGUGCCGGAAGGUUAAUUGAUGGGGUUAUCCUCGCGGAGAAGCUCUUGAUCGAAGCCCCGGUAAACGGCGGCCGUAACUAUAACGGUCCUAAGGUAGCGAAAUUCCUUGUCGGGUAAGUUCCGACCUGCACGAAUGGCGUAAUGAUGGCCAGGCUGUCUCCACCCGAGACUCAGUGAAAUUGAACUCGCUGUGAAGAUGCAGUGUACCCGCGGCAAGACGGAAAGACCCCGUGAACCUUUACUAUAGCUUGACACUGAACACUGGUCCUUGAUGUGUAGGAUAGGUGGGAGGCUUUGAAGUGUGGACGCCAGUCUGCAUGGAGCCGUCCUUGAAAUACCACCCUUUAAUGGCUGGUGUUCUAACGUGGGCCCGUGAUCCGGGUUGCGGACAGUGUCUGGUGGGUAGUUUGACUGGGGCGGUCUCCUCCUAAAGAGUAACGGAGGAGCACGAAGGUCAGCUAAUCCUGGUCGGACAUCAGGAGGUUAGUGCAAUGGCAUAAGCUGGCUUGACUGCGAGCGUGACGGCGCGAGCAGGUGCGAAAGCAGGUCAUAGUGAUCCGGUGGUUCUGAAUGGAAGGGCCAUCGCUCAACGGAUAAAAGGUACUCCGGGGAUAACAGGCUGAUACCGCCCAAGAGUUCAUAUCGACGGCGGUGUUUGGCACCUCGAUGUCGGCUCAUCACAUCCUGGGGCUGAAGUAGGUCCCAAGGGU